GAAGAUUCAGUGCAGAUUUUUAGUUCCUUGAUAAGUUACUGCUGUUGGUACUCCACUUCCCUGUGCCAUAAUCAAAAAAGUGACCCCAGGUUGUUCUUCCACAUCUCGUUCCUGUGCUGUAUGUCUGAAAUAAGUAAAGAAUAUAAUAAAUCAGGUCUUUCAUCUGAAUCAGCAAGAAGAUAUACGCCUUUUUACAGAAUACUCUGCACAGAGAAAAUCCCAACCCUUCCUUCAAAUACCAUCUUUCAAAACAUUUCUGAGAAUGUCAUCUCUUUUCCUUAGGCAAUGGGAGUGCACUAAAAUACACUCUUGAUUUGUCCAAAUAGCCUGGGGUAAGAAUUUCCAUAACAGACUCUCCACUGAAUGUAGACAAAAUUUUCCCCAAAGGGGACUCCAAUUUUAUCUGCCUUGGGAAAUAGAAACUAAAGAGAGAAAGAGAAAGAAGAUUUUCUAAAAAUUCUCUGGAUUCAGGAAUUUAAGUGAAAGAAAGAUGGUCUUGUCUACUCCAAGUCCCAUUCAAACAAUUGGAUUUCCACUUGGAAUGGUUGUCUCUUUAAACAAAGGUGUUAUUUUAAUGAACACGAAAGGAAGCAUUUUACUUCCUCUUACACUUGGAACUGAAAACAUUUUGUUGAGGAGAGCAGAAGAGGUAACAUGUCACUGAAACUGAAUUAUAAGCAUACUUACAUAGAAAUUGGGAAUUUACAUUGCAACUGAGUUUAUUAUCUUCUUUGAUUUAACAUUUACUGACUUUUUUAAAGGAAUCCGAAUACUCUUCAGACAUCAGACGCUUAGAGAAGCAGUCCUCACAUUGCAUCAAAACCUACCAGAUUUUAAAGAUUAAGCCUUUUGGAUCAUUUAAAGUGGUAGGGGUGAGUGGUUGCAAAUCCUCAUCUAUACUUUAACAGCACUUUAAUAUUUUAGUUACUUUAAACCAUACCUUUGCUAAUUCCAAUCAAGUUACAUUGAACCACUGUAGCCACUACAUUGACCAUGGCAUCAAAGACAGGAAGUAAUUAUAGCUUUUUAAAUAAUAUCUUCUAAUCUAUGCUCUUACUAAGUUUACAGUUCAUUCCAAUACUUUUAGCAUUGGCAGAAAGCUCUCACAGGCUUUUCCCUCUUACCACCCUCAGUUUUCCUUCUACUCUUUACAUAUUCUUAUUGAAAUAUUUUAGUUGCCAAGAGUAUCCCCAUUAGUGAAGACCUUAAUAAAAUUAAUUAUAACUGGUAACUUGAAUAAAAGUCUUUUUUUAGGAAAAAAAAGGUAACAUUUUCUAUUUUACGCUGAAUUUAAAGAAAUCUGCUUCUGUAACAGUAUUUCAGGUUUCUGGCAGCUCAUCCUCCAGUUACAUUUAAAAUUUAAAGGAAUAAAUAUUCAUCUUUAAUGAGAUAGCAUGAAAGCACUUCUGUGUAAUCAAAAAGGAAUUCAUUUGUAAAUUUGAAACUUUUUUAACAGAAAGAAAAAACCUAACAAAGAAGCUUUGACCUGUAAAGAAACAUUCAAUCUUUUAGAACUAUUUUCUAAAAAUGCACACACUGCAUUCAAUGUAGAGCUCAAACAUGCCCCAAGCACAGAACUGAGAAUACUAAUCUAACUUGAAACUAUAGAGUUUAAGGAAGAAGUUUUACAUUUUCUACUAGGAAAUUCAGUCUGGGGAUCAAGAGGACCGGGUUUUUAAUCCGUACCCUGCUACAAAUCUCUGACUUUGGGCAAGUCACUUCACUGGCUUGAAGGGUGGUAGACAUUCUGUUAUAUUAGGCUGCUUCCAGCCCUAUCAUUCUAAUAUUCAUAAAUUAUAAUGGAUGUCCAAUUGUCUUUGGUUCUUAUAAUAAAGCUACCCAG
rnacentral:lncRNA from 10 species